rnacentral:rRNA from 1 species
CCUACGGGCGGCAGCAGUAGGGAAUAUUGCUCAAUGGGUGAAACCCUGAAGCAGCAACGCCGCGUGGAUGAUGAAGGUUUUAGGAUUGUAAACUCCUUUUGUUAGAGAGGAUUAUGACGGUAUCUAACGAAUAAGCACCGGCUAACUCCGGGCCAGCAGCCGCGGUAAUACGGAGGGUGCAAGCGUUACUCGGAAUCACUGGGCGUAAAGAGUACGUAGGCGGGGUAAUAAGUCAGAUGUGAAAUCCUGUAGCUUAACUAGAGAACUGCAUCUGAAACUGUUACUCUGGAGUGUGGGAGAGGGAGGUGGAAUUCUAGGUGUAGGGGUAAAAUGCGUAGAGAUCAAGAGGAAUACUCAUUGCGAAGGCGACCUGCUGGAACAAUACUGACGCUGAUGUGCGAAAGCGUGGGGAGCAAACAGGAUUAGAUACCCGAGUAGUC